GGCUCGAUCAAAACGCUAUAUAAACAGUUGGUUGGUUCACUGAGUUUCAGAUUUUAAACGAAUAAUUGCAUUCAAAUCAAGGGAGGCUCCGGGUGGAGGAGUUCUUCUUCCAAAGGUAGAAUUGUUCUUCUUCUUGGGAACAAACCCUAACCACAUAACCCCAUCAAAGUAUUGUGAUCGUAUCUCAUUCACCCAGAGAAAGUCGUAUUUUCCAAACGCAAGUCUCGCAAUUAGGUGUUGAAGCCAGCUGGAAUUAGCCCAUUGAAUUCUCUCUUUACGAUACAAUAGGAACGUUAUGCAGUUGGGUUGCUUGGCAGAGUUUCAAAUUUAAAUUAGGCGCAAAUUUCUUCAAUAGAUGGCUCAAUAAGGUGCUAUAGAUAGAGAAGUUUUUCUUCUAGAUGUGGGUGAGAUUUGGUAAUUCAUGAACCAUGAUCGUUUCUUUUUCUUUCAAAAAGUCAAUCAACUUUGUAAUAUCAUGAUGAUUUCUUUCCCUUCCCUUUUCGUUCUUUGAUUUCCGCAAUGGUUUCAAAGACUAUGAAAUCUACUCACCUUUCUAUUCAUCUUAGCUUAUAAAUUUAUAAAAUAAAACUGCAUUUCAUCCUUGCAUUGAAGUUUGAUUAUAAAAUUUGUACAUGAAGUAAAGCACAAACGUCAAAAUUAAUUGCAAGAGAUCAAAUGGCCUCUUAUAUUUACAUUUUGUUUCUCAACUAAUUGGAAUUUAAUGUUUUUAUCUAUAAAGUUAGUAUGUCGAUUUUUUAUUGGCACCUUAAUUCAUGGCAGUAAACUGUAACUGGAAUUUAAUUCUUGCUGUUUGAUUUUCAUUUUAAAAGAUCAACAAGAGUAUGACUUGCCAAGUGUCAACUAUCGUGCUUUGUUAUUCACAUUUCUGAGAUUAGAUUUUCUGCUUUCAAGUGGAGAUUGAUUCUCAAAUAUAUUCUCCAAUAGUUCCCUUAUUUUGAAUGAAUUACCAAUUCGAUCUUUCAGUUGGAGAUAUAAGUACUUAUAGACGGUUGCCUGCAUUUGUUGGUCGAUUUAUUUUUCUGUUUAAACUUAGCCAAAAAAAUAAAGGAAAAGCACGAUCAAUAACACUAGGUAUUAGGAUCCAUUUGAGACCUUUGGAUAUUAGGUACUAAUUUUUUUGUUUUAACAAAUACCACAAGAUACGCAAAAUACCUAAACCAUUACUGAUAUGAAACGUAGAAUAAUUAAAGUGGUCUCUCUCUACACGGCGUCUAUGCGUGCUGUAGACCUCAAAAAGGAAACGUUUGGGUCAAUCUUGGCAAAAGGGUGUUGAAUCAAUUACUGACCACGUGUUGCAUGGCAUGGCUUUGAUUACUUCUGACAGGCCUCGAUGGAAUAAGAAAGGUUUAACUUUUCCUUAUUAUUUGAACUUAUUUGUUCCUUAUUUGAACUUAUUCUAUAAUAUGAUUUACUUGUGAUAAAUUAAAGGGAAAGAAAAGAAGGAACAAAGUUUUUUCUAUGAAAUAUGGCAGCUUUCUUCUGCUGUUUUUUUUUUUUUUACUGUGUAUUGGAAAUCAUACCAUGUCUUUGCCAUGUGUUAAAAUACUUUAUUUGGGCAUAUUUCGUUUCAUAGUUAUCUUAUAAAGUUGUAGCCAUCCGUUCCUCACAUCAUUGACGUUGUUAAGUAGUUUUCUGUGAUAGGCCUUUCACUUAAGCAUGAGCAAUUUUAACCAAUAGUUAUCUUGUUAGGUUUUGAAAUACUUAACCUAGGCCUUCCCACCUGCUUUUUUUUUGCUUUUUUUUAUUGAGGUAAUUGUGGAUAUCAUUAGGGAGUGAAAUACUUAUUUUUUGUCCUGUAGUUCCCUUAUCUGUAACCAAUAUAUAUGGUAUAAGUAAUGUACCCUAAUUAAUAGUGUAGCCUCCGGUAGAAUAGUUAUCAGAUCCAGAUCAGAAUCAACCAUGCUCAGUGUUUCUUUACUAUAAUGCCUUCUUGCUCCUCUUUUGCUUGUAAUGAAUAUGAUCUGAAUCAAAAUUAUAAGUUUGAAGCCCUGGGUUGAGAGAAAUUUUGAUCAUUUAGAAAAGAAAACCUUAUGCAACUUACCCAUUACAUAUGCAUUCAUAGUUGUGUCUUAAUACAUUUUGUUGUAAUAUCAGUGUGAAUAAAAAAGGCUUAGAACUCUCAAUGGAAUGCUUUGUUUUGAUCUCAAUUGGUCAUUUACCUAGUUAUAUAAUGCUCAAAACCUAAUAAUUUGUUGCCAGAUUCAUAUUGGUGCGUAGAUAACAUGAACAAUCUACACUUCCCAAAUAGGGAUUGGAACUGAUUUUAUGGAAAGCCACUUUGGGAUUUAUGGAGGAAGUUGUUUGUGAAGUUUGAUGGAACUAUGCCCAUCAGCAACCCAAACAGGGUUUUGGAAAAUGUUUGAUGUACAGAUUUAAUCAAAAAGUAUAGAAAUUGUAUCAGUUAGCAGUCCACAGAGCAGUAAGGCAUAGCUAAAACCUAAAGCUGGAUUGAAUAAAUAAGCAAAAGAAAUUAUUACUUCUUGAUAUCUAGAAACAUUACAAUAGCAGUUGCCAAUUCUCAUAAUUAGCACAUCCGGAAUUUUGUUUUUUCCAUUUAUCUCUUGCUUCUGAUUUCUGAUAUCCUAGGAUGGCUUGGUUUCUAAUUGAACUUCAUUUUCCUCUAAAUUUUGACCAAGUUGAAGUUAUUCCACAAGUGCUGGAAUAUGAUGAGUUGUUGGAAAGUUAUCGUAAAAUUGCUUUUAGUAAAAUUUCUACUUCUUGCUUUCCCCCUUUGUCUUACAUGUGACAGAACAUGGGGAAGGGUUUUUGCGGUUUUUAGUCUUUCUAUUUUAAAACAAUGGUGUCAGUUUUAGUUUUUAACUUGGGAAAUUUAGUCUUUUAUUGAUUGAAAUUAUUAGCUUGUAAAGGGUGCAACUAAACCUUGUUUUAUAUUGAGUCUUUUUCCCCCAAGCAAUGUUAUUGUUUGGUAAACAUAAAAUAUAAUAAAAUCGAUGAAAAAAAUUGAAUGAUAAAGUAGGUUUUUGAAACAAAAAUGAUAUUUGUAAAUUAUGAAUAAUGAUAACAGUGUGAAACAAAAACAAUAAAAUAAAUAUUACUUGAUUUGUAAUGGAAAGAAAGUUCCAUUCUUGGAUUGAUGCUAAGUAAACUUAAAUGAUGUUAAAGUGGCUUUCAAGUAACUUUCAGACUCAAAUAGGAAAAAAGUUGGGUAGCUGUGAUCCUUUUGAGAAGAAAAUCUUUUCCUUUAGUUUCACCCAACUUCCAAUAAAAUUAAAUUAAAUUUACCUUUUUUUAAUUUUUUUUGCCUUGCCUUCAAUACAUACGGUCUUUUAAGGAAGAAACGAUGUAUAUUGAAGUAAUGUGCUUAUUAAAGAGAGACAAUAUUAAAUAAACAUACAUGUUGGCAUUUUGGUAUUGAGUUUGACUACUGAUUAUUAUCAUCAUUAUUAUCAUUAUUAUCAUUAUUAUUAUUAUUAUUAUGUAACUUGCUAGCUAAUUGACUACAACAUGGAACAUGCAUGUAACUGGAAUAUAAAGAGAAACACAACAAAAAAGUAAUCACUCUCUUGAUAAAAUACCACAAAUAGACGUUGGAUCCUUCCUUUUUGUAUACAUUGAGUAGAAAUAGACUUGUGCAUCUUUACUUCUGCAUCUUUUUUAAUUAUUACAUGGGGAUAAAAGCUUGAGUGUUAUUAUGUGUUUAGUAGUUACUGUUGGACAUAUGAUGGUGUGCCUAACGAAGGACGGACAAAAAAAAAAAAAAGUAGAAUGAAGAGGUGUCAUUAAAGGACGUCUGCAAUUAUUGGUAUUGGUAUGAGGAGAAGAGGUAUUUUUAUUUUCAUGUGAUUUAAUGUUAUUAUAUUUUUUGUAAAAUUUUUAUUUUGGGUGCUGGUUGGAGGUAUGUGUUAUUAGAAGAGAUCAUGUGAUCUUAAAUACAUGAACCCCACAUCCCUCCCCAAACUCCUUUAUAGGAAGAUACAUAUGCCCCCUCUUAUGCCAACCUAUAAGGGGAGAUGAACGGAGAGUAGGUGCAUUUCCCCUGUCGUCCCUUGUACCACUAUAGGUGAAGUACACUGACUCGGUGCCCACUCCUUUUUCCUUACCUACAUGAUUGUUGAUGUGUGCUUUAGGCUGCAUACCUUCCUCGGCUUGAUCCCUUAAAGGACGAUGACGAGUGUCAAUCAAGAGCACACUUUUAACCAUCCCCCAAAGGGCAAUGUAUUAUCAUUUGCCAUUAUCAUCUUCCUAAAAAAUUAACUCAAUGACAUAUGCAACACACCUAUUUAUAUGCAUAGAAUCCUCUCCAAAUUCUUUCGAUGUGGGACGUAACAGCUCCCACAACCAAUUCAUGACGUUCCCAUCAUGAGUGGCCCACUGGAAAGGUCUACCAAUUGGAUAAACUUAGGUCCGUCUCUGAUAUUACUUUGUUAUUAGGUAUUACUCUCUCUAUAAAAAGCUAGCUCAAUAGGGUAUGUAGUGCACGUACUUAUAUGCCCAACCCUCCCUAAGUCCCCCCCAAUGUGGGAUGUAAUAGCAUGCUGAACAAGUGCAUAGUGUAACAUCUUAGAAAAUUAACCCCGAUUAAAUUAAAUGAGGUUAAUUAAUUAAAUAAAUCAAUAUGGUGUGUGGUUAGAGGGUAGUGGGUUCAGACCUAGGAUUGGGACAGUAGAAAAAGUAUUUUUGUGCUACAUGUCAUAACGCAAGAGCCACCAAAACAUGAAGCAAUCCACACACAAACCUAUUGCAAAUUUGAGAUGAGAAGAGGGAGGAGGGUUAGGAAGCUUACUCAAGUAUUUCUUUAGCUUAGAAUGCCUCUAACUAGGUCAAAUGAUGAAGCCCUAGUAGUUAAAUAUCUCCUCUCCUUCGCCUCUCCUGUUUCUCUUCUUUUUCCUCACUAUUUUAAGUGAAAGAAUAUGGGUCCCGCAUGUCCAACAAGCUUAACAAUGCCAAGAGGCCUACAAUGCAAAAGUGGUGAAACAAGGCAAGAGGCCAACAAUCAACCAGUGGCCUAUAAAAAUAAAAGGAUCACAUGGAUAAUUGUACAAAUGAUGACAUAUCCCUUGAUUGCUUCAAAUUGAUUAGCUUAAUAAUUUAGAUAUUGGUUUAAUAUUUAUAUAUUAUUUUAAUAUUUUAUUUAAGUUUUGUUUCCUAUUUUUAGAUUAGAAUUUUAUCUAAUAAUAUAAUCAGAUGAUUUUAGGAUAUAUAAUCCUUAGAUUAUUUGGUUGAUUUUCAUUAUUUUAUUAGUAUUGUCAUCAAACUAGGAUUUCUAAAUUAAGGCUUUUGAGUCUUGAGUAAUAUAUAGGCGUGCACAAGAAAUUCCUAAAUGGACUGAGUGCAAAAAAUUAACUAUGCAUAUAAGAAUAAAAUCAAUUAAAAUAAUGUCAUGUAAGAUUUUAUGUAUAUAAUUUGGAACAUUUAAUUGGACAAAUUACAAAUGACACGAUGCACCUAAUUUAUCUAAAAAUUUCUCAACAUGCACUUCUUUAUUGUAUUGUAAGUUGAAUUUGAAUAAUAAGUGUAUUUCUUAUUUUUUUUUAAGUUUAGUGAUUCAUAGUGCUUAUGGUAGCAUCUUGUGGUGAAUACAGACGUAAUCAAGAGCUUUAUCAACUCUUGCUACUUCAUUUCCUUCCGUUAUUAGCAUGAUGUUGCUUCCAUCAUUAGUUCAUGAAUGCAUAUAAUUUAACCAAAAUUUUGCAAAUCUGCUAUGCGCAAAGUGCAUCCGUUGUGGUGGAGACAUGGUGGGUCCAAAUGCGAAUUAGUGAGGCCUAAUUGGAAAUUUUAAAUCCUAGAAUUUAAAUCUGAAAAUUUUAAGUGUUUAGAGGGUAGAUUGGUAAAUUUGAGUGAAUUUUUUAUUGAUAUUAUUUUUAGAACACUAUGUGGUUAUUGGAUCAUUGGUCAGUCUUAAAAGUAGGCUAUGUUCAAGUUUGAAUAGGCUGUGAUAUGGAGAGAGGCCCAAAUCGUGAUUGAGCAUCUUUGGCCCAUAUACCAUAACGAAUGGACAUAAAUCUGGUUUUGUCAAACGCAAGCUCGAGUUUGAUUUCAAAAGAAAGAAAGAAAACGAGAGGAUUUGGGAGCAAAUUGGAAGCAUUUGGGAGGUUGAUUAUUGUUGGGUGUCACACACCAAAAAUAAAAUUCUAACAAAAUUUCAUCUGUAUGUAGGACCUUCCAAAAUUUUACAACACAAAUAUCAUAACAACCAAGAAUUCAAUUCCUUCCAACUAGCAUAUGGAGUAUUUAACAAAAUAAGAACCCUAUCCAUAGCCUAUGCGGAGAACCUAUCGUAACGUUUACAAAACAUAAUACAUGAAUU